AUGGCAAGAAUUGAGGUUGCUGUAGACCCGUGUGGAUUCGCCACCAGUAACAAAACCAUAAUUACACAGGGAGGGUUUCUUCCAUCAGGCUGGUGGCAUGCUCCUUCUACAGCAGAAUAUGCUGCGGCUUUUUUCUUAUUCUUUUGGCCUUCAGAAGAAAGAGUGCUGCAUGCCAGUGUCUUCAAGUGGAUACUUCUGAGGCCCUUCAGAAAGAGCAAGAAUGGAUCCAGAGAGCUGCUUGGCCUCAGGAUACUCCUUUGGUUCAUCUAUAUUCACCAGGGACAUUCCAGUGUUGUCGUUUUUAAACGAUGGUGCUACCCUCCCCAAAAUAAAGUCACCAUUAAAAUGUAUCCUGGAGAAUUGGGACCAAUUUGA
rnacentral:lncRNA from 13 species